rnacentral:sRNA from 1 species
UUUUUUUUUUGGAAUAUUUGGAAGUUCAGACUUACAUGCCCUACAUCUCUCAGAGGCGGGACCCACACCAGAUUAAAUUCAUUUUUUUUGGAGAAGAUCCCUCUCAACGUGCUUUAAACCCAACACCUCUAUUUGGGAAAUUUAUCACUGGGCAAUAACACGUUGGUAAAAAUGCACUUAAAUACUA